UGGUUGUAAAAAUUUGGUACCCAGACCUGGCGAUCGGGUCGGGUAAAGGGUGUUACAUCUGACCUGAUCGAAGGUUCGAGUUACGGAAUGCUACAGUCGUUGCCGGAGCAACUACCGUAAAAAACAUUGUAAGUAAAUCAAUUAAUCAUUUGAAUAUUCCAUACAUGCAUUCAUUAUAUGCUAAAGAAAAUUUUUCGAGAUUCAAUUGAACUUACGGAAGCUCAAUUACUAAUUCAAAUAUGAAAUAGGACUAUAACAACC
rnacentral:lncRNA from 1 species